AGCAUGUGUGUUAGUGGAAGCGUCUGGAAAGGCGCGCGAUACAGGGUGACAGCCCCGUACACAAAAGCGCAUGUGCUGUGAGCUCGAUGAGUAGGGCGGGACACGUGGUAUCCUGUCUGAAUAUGGGGGGACCAUCCUCCAAGGCUAAAUACUCCUGACUGACCGAUAGUGAACCAGUACCGUGAGGGAAAGGCGAAAAGAACCCCGGCGAGGGGAGUGAAAAAGAACCUGAAACCGUGUACGUACAAGCAGUGGGAGCACCCUUUGGGGUGUGACUGCGUACCUUUUGUAUAAUGGGUCAGCGACUUAUAUUCUGUAGCAAGGUUAACCGUAUAGGGGAGCCGGAGGGAAACCGAGUCUUAACCGGGCGUUAAGUUGCAGGGUAUAGACCCGAAACCCGGUGAUCUAGCCAUGGGCAGGUUGAAGGUUGGGUAACACUAACUGGAGGACCGAACCGACUAAUGUUGAAAAAUUAGCGGAUGACCUGUGGCUGGGGGUGAAAGGCCAAUCAAACCGGGAGAUAGCUGGUUCUCCCCGAAAGCUAUUUAGGUAGCGCCUCGUGAA
rnacentral:rRNA from 1 species